rnacentral:rRNA from 1 species
CCUACGGGCGGCAGCAGUGGGGGAUAUUGGACAAUGGGGGGAACCCUGAUCCAGCGACGCCGCGUGAGUGAAGAAGUAUUUCGGUAUGUAAAGCUCUGUCAGCAGGGAAGAAAGAAAUGACGGUACCUGAACAAGAAGCCCCGGCUAACUACGCGCCAGCAGCCGCGAAAAUACGUAGGGGGCAAGCGUUAUCCGGAAUUACUGGGUGUAAAGGGAGCGUAGACGGUUAAGUAAGUCUGGAGUGAAAGGCCGGGGCCCAACCCCGGGACUGCUCUGGAAACUAUUGAACUUGAGUGCAGGAGAGGUAAGCGGAAUUCCUAGUGUAGCGGUGAAAUGCGUAGAUAUUAGGAGGAACACCAGUGGCGAAGGCGGCUUACUGGACUGUAACUGACGUUGAGGCUCGAAAGCGUGGGGAGCAAACAGGAUUAGAUACCCUUGUAGUC